GAAUUGGGAGGACAGCAGAGCUGACUGUCAGCAGAGAGGAGCAGAUCUGGUCGUCAUUAACAACGAAGAGGAACAGUUUGUCUCUGAGCUGAGUAACGGAGGAGAGUCCUGGAUUGGUCUACGGUAUGGAUGGGGACCAGGAGGAGGAUGGGGAUGGGUGGACGGAUCACCACUGAGAGAAACGUUCUGGGGAGAAGGACUGCCUCGCGAUGGUUACUAUGCAACAUGCUGCAAUCAACAAGGGAAAUGGACACAGAGUUAUUUUGGAACUAAGACCGGGAUCUGUGAGAAAAAGAUG